rnacentral:rRNA from 1 species
UUAAAUUGAAGAGUUUGAUCAUGGCUCAGAUUGAACGCUGGCGGCAGGCCUAACACAUGCAAGUCGAACGGUAACAGGAAGCAGCUUGCUGCUUUGCUGACGAGUGGCGGACGGGUGAGUAAUGUCUGGGAAACUGCCUGAUGGAGGGGGAUAACUACUGGAAACGGUGGCUAAUACCGCAUAACGUCGCAAGACCAAAGAGGGGGACCUUCGGGCCUC